AACAAUCUAACAAAGCUUCUUCUUGCUUCUCAUAGCUUUGAUGGUGUACCGAAGUCCGUAUGAGUCUUUGGCUUUCUAUCUUCUAACAAGGAAACACUACUUAGGCUUUUAAGAUUCGGUUACGGUUCUAAGUCUUAUACUUAAUCAUACACAUGACAUCAAGUCAUUUUUGACUCCA
rnacentral:sRNA from 1 species